rnacentral:lncRNA from 1 species
GUGUGGUGCAGUUUUUCUUCAGUAUUAGAAACAAACCUGCUUCUGAUGCUGUUGCUCUUUUAAGCUUCAAUUGGUUCAUUCUUGGUACUUUAACAUACCCUACACUACCAAGGGUGGCACCUAUGUUGGCUCCACUGGUGUUGCGCUUUGUAGACCAAGCCAUAAUCCGAUUUGGUCUUUUAUCCUUAGUUUGAUAUUGUUUUUGUUUUUAGUUUGUGUU